rnacentral:piRNA from 1 species
UGUUAUGUUGAGCUGACAACAGAUGACA